GAAAAAAUGUUGAGUUUAUUUGGUAGUAGUGUAGUACAAUUAAAGGUGGGAAAAUGGUAGCAGUACCAAAUUUUUUGCCAACAGUAAUGGCCAAUUCCCGUAAACCACAUUUUCCCAUGAUAUGUUACGUACUGUGAAGAAUCAAAAGCUAAAGCCAAUUGUUACCUGUUGGGAAAAUUUGCAGGAAUCAACGUCUCUGCCUCGAAUUGGGGUAAUUAAAAAUAAAUAAAGACCAAAGUGAUGUGCUCUGCCGUGGACCAUCAUCAUCUUCACUUUAAUUCCGACCCCCACAUUACCAAACAAAAAACAAAAGUCUCUCUCAUCACUCUUUAAUUAUUUCUCUUUACUAUUCCCGUAUAUCUAAACUUUGUUAAUUGUAUAUGACAUGUUGGUAUAUCAAAUCUAAACCCAGAUUAAGUUGGGUUUAAGGUUGUGGGUAAAUUCCAGGCAACCUGAGUAACGUUCCAUCAGCAUCAGCAUCAGCAUCAGCAUGUUCGGUGGUGUGGUGAUUCAUUUAUUCAUUUUUAGCUAGGGUUUCAACUUUGAAGACAGAGAGAGAGAGAGAGGAGGAGAGGGGAUAUAUACCAACAACAAUAAUUAUUACAGGUAUUGAGAGAGGGGUAGAGAGUAGUGGACCAUCAGUGUGCAGGGAGUAGGAGAGGAAGAACAUGAAGUUGUCGGCUAUCUUGAAGAGUAAGUCUCUCCCUGUCUUCUUCUCCUUCUGAUCAUCAUCGUCAUCAUAAAAAAGCAACCCCCAAUCUCCCAUCUCUGCUUCCUUUGAUGGGUGGGUUUUAUGAGGUUGGAUGCCUUACAGGAGACAACACUCCUCUUACCCUUUCCUCUUCAUAAACCCACCUCCAGGCUCCAUCCAUCUUUUCUAAUUAAUCCUCUCUUAGUUUCUCUUUUAUGUCUUUCGUUCUGUGUUUGUAUUAAACUAUUAAUUAAGGUAAACGUGUUUUAGUUG
rnacentral:lncRNA from 1 species